rnacentral:rRNA from 1 species
UACAGAGGGUGCAAACGUUGCUCGGAAUUAUUGGGCGUAAAGCGCGUGUAGGCGGCUUGUUAAGUUGGUUGUGAAAACCCAUGGCUCAACCAUGGAAGGGCGUCCAAAAACUGGCAAGCUAGAGUCCCGCACGAGGAUGGCGGAAUUCCCAGUGUAGAGGUGAAAUUCGUAGAUAUUGGGAGGAACACCGGUGGCGAAGGCGGCCAUCUGGGGAGGGCACCGACGCUGAGACGCGAAAGCGUGGGGAGCAAACAGG